UCCCCUAGUAACUGCGAGUGAAGCGGGAAAAGCUCAAAUUUAAAAUCUGGCAGUCUUUGGCUGUCCGAGUUGUAAUCUAGAGAAGUGUUAUCCGCGCUGGACCGUGUACAAGUCUCCUGGAAUGGAGCGUCAUAGAGGGUGAGAAUCCCGUCUUUGACACGGACUACCAGGGCUUUGUGAUGCGCUCUCAAAGAGUCGAGUUGUUUGGGAAUGCAGCUCAAAAUGGGUGGUAAAUUCCAUCUAAAGCUAAAUAUUGGCGAGAGACCGAUAGCGAACAAGUACCGUGAGGGAAAGAUGAAAAGAACUUUGGAAAGAGAGUUAAACAGUACGUGAAAUCGCUGAAAGGGAAACGCUUGAAGUCAGUCGCGUUGUCCAGGGAUCAACCAAUCACUGAUUGCUUGGUGCAUUUUUCUGGUUGACGGGUCAGCAUCAAUUUCGACUGUUGGAAAAAGAUCAAGGGAAUGUGGCAUCUUUGGAUGUGUUAUAGCCCUUGGUUGCAUACAAUAGUUGGGAUUGAGGAACUCAGCACGCCGCAAGGCCGGGUUUUUAACCACGUACGUGCUUAGGAUGCUGGCAUAAUGGCUUUAAUCGACCCGUCUUGAAACACGGACCAAGGAGUCUAACAUGCCUGCGAGUGUUUGGGUGGUAAACCCGAGCGCGUAACGAAAGUGAAAGUUGAGAUCCCUGUCGUGGGGAGCAUCGACGCCCGGACCAGACCUUUUGUGACGGUUCCGCGGUAGAGCAUGUAUGUUGGGACCCGAAAGAUGGUGAACUAUGCCUGAAUAGGGUGAAGCCAGAGGAAACUCUGGUGGAGGCUCGUAGCGAUUCUGACGUGCAAAUCGAUCGUCAAAUUUGGGUAUAGGGGCGAAAGACUAAUCG
rnacentral:rRNA from 1 species